AAGAAAUUAGUUAAAUAUAUAACGUAUGUUUGUCAUAUAUAAGUUAUCUUUUUUUAAGAUAUUUCUUA
rnacentral:tRNA from 1 species